rnacentral:misc_RNA from 1 species
GUGGUGGUGGUGUACUUGGAGAUGGUGUGUCCCAGUUAGCGAGCAGCCUCUUUCGUUUCGGCAGUAAGAAACGUGGCGUUUGCAUUUGUAAUGCCCAAUGUCGUAUGCAGGCUUUGGAGCAGCAAACAGCGCAAUUGGGUCAGCUGGAUCCCGCGCUGAGAACUCAUCAUGGCUCGCUGGAUCGUUUACUGCAGCAACAAGAGAAGCAGUCACAGCAGCAAAGACCCAGCGCUUCGGCUGUGCAUUCCAUUGGCGGUGUUGUAGAUGGUGGUGGGUCGGGCGUGCUUCUUGGCUCAGCUGAUUCUGAUGGUGAUGGCGAUGAUGAGAAAGAACCAGAACUUCCACCUCUCCCACCGUCGCGCAUAAAGUCCCAAACCCAAGUCACGCGACACAUUAAAGAACAGUUUGACCGCGGGGUAGAGGUAGAGAAGUUCUAUCAUCAAAUCAACGGUGAUAUAUUCGAGAUCACGCGGCGCGUACGUGCACGUGAUGAAGAUACUAUAGAACAGAAGGUGAUUAAACGAAAGGGUUCGGUACGACUGCCGCCGGAGCCACCGCCACGACAAGCCUCGGUAGCGGCAUCGGCUGCGCAUACACAGAUGUAUCAUGGACAUGGACAUAGUCAUCCGCAUUCCCAUCCGCAUGUACACCGUCAUACUGCGGAUGGCGAUGGAAAGCCUCAGCUGCCACCUCGUCGUCAGAAAAGUGCAGAGGAGGUGCCCGUGUCGAAAAGUACGACACGUCCACCUAAUGAAUUGGAGUGGUUUGAUCGUAAGGCGAAACAACGACACUCAGCGCGUUCAGCUGAAAGCGGCGCUGUGCGUGAGGAAACUAUUGAGUGGUUAGAACGACAAAGAGGACCAGUACGCACCUCUUCCGGACCCAGUGAAAUCACUGUUAUGAAAGAUGAGGUACCCGAUUGGCUACUGGAACAUCUGCCACGCAAACGUUCAAUGGCAGACCGGCCAUCUGAAUCUAAGACAAGCACUACUUCCUAUGCCAAAGCGCUUAAAGAAGAGCUCGCGGAACUGCUAAAAAAGCCAUUGUCCAGACAGAGCUCCGGGCCACCCGGCGAGUUUUCUAUACUCAAAACGGACAUUGUUGAGUGGCUAACGAAAUUGCAGACGUCGUCACGUAGUUCGGCACGUGAAGAGGCACCACCACCGCAAACGCGUCGCGCUCACCAUCGGCGCAACGGCAGUGGCGAUACCCAACGUUCUCAUUCCCAGGAAGAUGCCACCAUCACACAACAGGCGGCGCGCAAACGACACUCGCUGGGUCAUAGCGAUCGCAGCGAAGAAGAGAUGCUUGAUUGGAUAGCUUAUCCACUGAAUCGGUUGCAAUCUUUGGGUAAGCCACUACAACAACAGCCGCAGAUGCAAACGAUAGAAAGACGACAGCCUUUUGCCGAACACCAUCACAAGCCAGCAGCUCCUCCGCCUCAAACACAAUUACAAAUACAACACCAGCAACCCAUAUGCGCCGAACGAGAAAGGCGGUCGCAUGAACGCACACGCGAACGCAAGCUCCGACAUUCUGCCAGCGAAGUUGUGACCGCACUCACCACUUCAGCAGCGGCGCAGAGUCAGUUAGAACGCCUCUAUGCAAAGCCGCAUAAAGAACGUUAUCAGUAUGUGCCUAAGGAUACCAAGGAUAUGAUUAUGCUGCCUCCCAAGGAGAGCUCAAAGAUAACCACUGCCGUUACUAGCGCUUCUGUACGCGAGUCGAAGCGUGAACGUUCGCGCCGUCAUCAAACACAACGUUCGGCCACUGUCUCCGAUAUGUCCGGGCAUCAUAAUGGUGGCCUCAAAAGAAAAUCCUCAUCAGCUGAACGAGCACCGCGUUCGCCCUCGCCUUGUAAUGAUCCCGCCUGCCGCUUACUCCCCAUCUGCGCUGAUCCGCACUGCCGCUUCCCAGAAUGUCAGACAAUAGAUCGCAGCGCGGUAAUCUCCAUGACCACAUCGACAUCAACGAUGAACCUCGCACGUCAUCAGCAAGUGGCGCGUGCACAGAUGCACACAGUGCCCGCAAACAUAACUUCAGAUGACACACCAACGCCGCCACCACCACCGCCUCCUACGUCACAGCAGCAACAAUUCCAACCCCAGCGACGGCUAGUGAUAUGCCACGAGUGUAGGUCGUGUGCACCAUUACUUACCUGCCAGAAUCGUAAAUGCUUCAAUGCCGCCAAAUGCAACUCACUGCCCCGCAGCGCAGCAGAUUUUAAUCGGCUGCGCACCACUCUCGUUCAACCGCCAACAACGCUCGACGAUAUAGAACCAGCGCCUGAAACGCCAUCUCCACAAAUGCCUCGCCACCCCGGCAUGCAGUAUCGCAGCAACUCACAACCGAAUACACUGCAACGAGGCGAUUCCGCUGCCGGUUUAUGGCAACAGGAUGGUGUUGACGGCGCACUGGUGGGGAGCGGCCACUCGAUGGUAACCGGAAUGACAACCGUCAUACAGAGCUCACAACUCCCACUGCCACCUUCGUCGCUGCACAUCGCAUCUGCAACGAAUGGCCGACAUUUCUAUAACGGUCGCAAUGGCAACGGUAUGUCGCAUCUGAACGGCACUAAUGGCAAACUAAUGAAAUCCGCGUCAGCGGCCUCGUUAAAUUCGCGUCGACGUCGUCACAAAACGGUGCAUUUCGGUGAGAAUUUACUUCGAGAAGUUUGUCAAAAUCGUAAACUAAUCAAAACUGAACAAGUUCCGUCCGGUUCGGCGCCGAUGAAGGCCAACAUACAGAUGCUUUACAAUUUCGUUGAAGGUGUGCUGAGCGCGUGGGUAGACGACGACGAGGAGCAGGUGCGUUCCGGUGCCGAAUCAGAGCCCGAACAAGGCACAAUGGCACUAAAGCCGAUUUACCGUUGUAAUCGGUUGCGCUAUCAGUGCAUCAAACGAAUUGUUGAGGAAGCGGCCGAGUUGCAUGGGACGUUAAAAUUGGGCAACUCACGCUAUCGUCAUAGGCACUGGCGAAGUACGGCCAAGCAAUGCAACGAAAUGUUUCUACGAAAGAUAUCUGAUGAUGAUCGAAUGAGCUUAACUACAGCCGUAUCUGAUGAAGAUGAUGGCGAAAGUGUCAUGGCGUCACCAUAUAAAGCAAAAGCAACUGGAACUGCUGCAUCCUCAUUCAAUUGUACUGGUGCUGUACGCAAAGCUGGUUUCCUAUCGGUGAAAAAAUGGUUAUUACGCAAGAAGCACCAAAUCGAACUGGCCCGCAAACGAGGCUGGAAAGGCUAUUGGGUUUGCCUCAAAGGCACCACUCUACUCUUCUAUCCAUGCGAUUCACGUGAGGGUCGCAGUGUAGAAGCGGCACCAAAACAUCUAAUCAUUGUCGAUGGUGCAAUUAUGCAACCGAUACCGGAACAUCCCAAACGUGAUUAUAUAUUCUGUUUGAGUACAGCAUUCGGUGAUGCGUAUCUAUUCCAGGCGCCCUGUCAGGUUGAACUAGAAAACUGGGUAAACAGCAUCCACAGCGCCUGUGCUGCAGCCUUUGCCCGCCAUCGUGGAAAAACAGGAACUUUACAUCUUUUGCAAGAAGAGAUUUUCCGUUUGGAAAAAGCCAUUGAAUCGGACCACAAGUUGAAGCACAUGGCUGAGCUGCAGCAAUCGGUAGUCACCGACCAAGAUACACGCCAUCAAAUACAAACACAAAUUCUACAGUGGGAGGAAAAUUUGGAGCGUUUACAUUGUGAACAGUUCCGCCUACGUUGCUAUAUGGCGUCGUUGCAGAGUGGUGAAUUGCCAAAUCCCAAAUCGUUACUUACACACGUGUCACGACCAACUAAGAAUACUUUGAACAAAUUGGGCGUUUUUACCGUCUCAUCAUUCCACGCCUUUAUAUGUGCUCGUUCUCCAUCUUUGCUGAAUAAUUUAUUGGCUGGACGUGGUGCCACUAAACGUCGACCACCAAUGCUAUCCCGUUCGAAUAGCGGUUCCAGUCGACGUUCCAUGCAGAUGAAUUCACGUGACGAACCGGAAAAAACCUUCAAAGUUGCCAUGCCUGAUAACGCUUACGCCACAGUCUAUCUACGUGACGCAAUGUCGGUGGAAGAGUUUUUGGCUAGUGCAUGUGCUCGCCGAAAUCUCAAUCCGAUGGAACAUUUUGUACGUGUGAAGAAACGACGUGACAUGGAGGAUCAUAACUACUUUGUGCCACAUCGCAAUGAUUUGAUUGAAAAUUACUUGCAUAAUCACGAAUUCGUUGAAGUUUGCAUGAAGAUACUCUAUCAAGUGGAGUUGCAUCGUACAACACUCGACCAAAUGUGGGGCUUCUCCGUCGAAGCGGAACUGAUCGAGAAUGCCGAACGGCAGGAUGAACUCUGUUGUUAUGUUAGCCGAGUGGAGGAUAAGAGUGUGGCUAUGCAGAAUGGUAUUAUCAAAGGAGACGAAAUAAUGGUGAUCAACGCUGCAAUUGUGUCUGACUUGGAUAUGAUGUACUUGGAGAGCGUACUGCAAGAGGAGCAAUCACUAUGCAUGAUGAUGCGCUCAUCGCGCACUGAGCCCCCAGAUCUAGUUGGCAUUAUGCGCGUCACUGAUGACAUGAUUGAUUCAUUGGUUUGUCCACCACCACCAUCGGAUCCACCCAUAAUGAGCGAGGAGAUGAUAUCCGGUUUAAUCGUACCAGCGCCAGGUUGGAAUGGCACCGGUAAGGAUUUAUAUUCACCUGAGGCAGAAAGCUCACCGGCACCAUCCUCCGUUGAACAGACACCAGCACAAAUGGUCGCAGCCGCCACCAAGCCGACUUCACGUACGAGCAGUUUUGAAAUUGAGAACCUUCUCAAGACCGCAGAGCAGGUUACCGGAUUUUGUCGUUCACCUCAGGAAACACGUAAAUCCAGCCCGACCGGUUCGGUCACAUCUUCUGUCUCUAAUGCCGCACUGACACCAUCACGUCAACUCACUGAUGCUGAGAAAUUACGUAAGGUCAUCUUGGAGUUAGUCGAUACAGAACGUACCUAUGUCAAGCACUUGAACAAUCUACUGGAAAACUAUUUGGAACCGAUGAAACGCGAAACAUUCUUAUCGAAUGCUGAGAUAAAUGCACUCUUCGGUAACAUACAUGAAAUUGUUACAUUCCAGAGGCAAUUCUUGCAAAAUCUCGAGGAAGCUUUGGAGUUGGAACCAGAUUUUCAUAAAUUCGACCAUUCCAGUCAGUUCCGGAAUGUUCUCUUUGCAAUCGGUUCGGCUUUCUUGUACUACGUCAACCACUUCAAGCUUUACUCUUCAUUUUGUGCUAGUCAUAGUAAGGCCCAAAAGGUGUUACAUCCAAAUGAAGGUAAUCACGCACUUCAAGAAUUCCUUGCCGCACGUAAUCCAAAGCAACAACACAGUAGUACAUUGGAAUCGUACUUAAUCAAACCGAUACAACGCAUCCUUAAGUAUCCUUUGCUAUUGCAACAGUUGCGCAAUUUAACAGAUGCACGAGCUGAUGAACAUUUACAUUUGUGCGAGGCGCUCAAGGGCAUGGAAAAGGUGGCUGAGCAUAUCAAUGAAAUGCAACGAAUACACGAGGAAUAUGGUGCUAUAUUCGAUCAUUUAUUCCGACAACAUCAGAAGUCAUGCAAGCAACCAAUUGAUUUAAGUCCAGAUCAUUCAUUCCUCGAUACAGGUGAUUUGCUCUAUUAUGGUGGCGUUGAGUGGCUUAACAUUUCCGACUUUCUGGGUAAAAUCAAGAAAGGCUUAGAGUUGCAUGCGAUGUGUUUUGUUUUUAAAUCAGCGGUUGUGUUCCUGUGCAAAGAACGUUUGCGUCAAAAGAAAAAGUUAAUGGGCGUUUCGAGUAAAAACGCACCCAACGAAGUCGAAAUUAUACGCUAUCAAGUUCUCAUACCAGUAACCGAGGUACAAGUGCGUGCCUCUUCUGCAAAAGAUAUGGACUCACACUUUUUAUGGGAAUUGAUACAUUUACGCUCACAACUUCAACGACGCUCCGAAAAAGUUUACGUACUCUCUAACAGCACGGCUGAUUUUCGAAAUGCUUUCCUUAAGACUAUAAGACAGAUCAUACGAGAAAGUGUACGCAAUAUGUCAAUUCCGAUGAAGGGCUUCGGUAGUAGUGGCUCUGUGUCGGGAAUCUCUUCACAAGGGGGCGGUUCUGGCAGUUCGCAAACACUUGAGCGGCCAAAGCAACAGAUAACAAUCAUACAAGGCUCACAGACUUUGGGUAAACCGAAAAAGAAGUCGGGUUCGCAGCGUCAUUCUGCCGGUAACAUUGAUUAUGAUAACUUAUCCGGCAGUCAAGAGGCCGAAGACGUGCCAAUACUGCAUCAACAUCAUCAACAGCAACAACAGCUGCAACCUAGUGGAUUCCGCGGACGAAGCAAGACCGUAGGUGAUGCUACAGAUCCACUGCAACAGCAGCUUCACCAACAUCAAAAACAUAUGCAACAUCAUCAACAGCAACAACAGCAGCAUAUGCACCACCACCAUCAGCAGCAACAAGUGCAUCAUCAGAGUGACAUUGAGCGUAUGGAUCCUGGUACCAAGUCUGAAGGAGAAGAGGACUCCCAGCAAGGCACAAUCAAAGCGAAAGCCACGCUGGGUCGAACACCAAAUCAUUUGACCUUAAGCACCACAUCAACCCUGUCGGUCGGCAGCACUGGUAGUCAAGCGCGUUUGAUACAAUCAUCCCAUCCGCCAUCAAGCUAUCAACCAGUACUCAUGAAAGAUUUAGAAACUAAGCAAUUUUUACAUAAUCCAUCAAGAUGUUGACAUAUUUUUUCUUCGCUAAGAUAUUCGGUUGAAUGGCUAAUACGAUUACAAAUAGUACUACCUUCCAAGCUUAGCUCCAUUUUCGAACGCUAAAAGGGGUCCCCGGUGUGGAAACCACGAGACAUGAUUAAUUUAGGCGAUGCACAGUCGACGACGCGCAAAGAUGAUGCGAACAAAUAAAGC